rnacentral:rRNA from 1 species
GACGAACGCUGGCGGCGUGCUUAACACAUGCAAGUCGAACGGAAAGGCUCCAGCUUGCUGGAGUACUCGAGUGGCGAACGGGUGAGUAACACGUGGGUAAUCUGCCCAGCACUCUGGGAUAAGCCUGGGAAACUGGGUCUAAUACUGGAUAUGACCUUUCUCCUUAUGGGGUUUGGUGGAAAGUUUUUCGGUGUAGGGUGAGCCCGCGGCCUAUCAGCUUGUUGGUGGGGUGAUGGCCUACCAAGGCGACGACGGGUAGCCGGCCUGAGAGGGUGAUCGGCCACAUUGGGACUGAGAUACGGCCCAGACUCCUACGGGAGGCAGCAGUGGGGAAUAUUGCACAAUGGGCGGAAGCCUGAUGCAGCGACGCCGCGUGAGGGAUGACGGCCUUCGGGUUGUAAACCUCUUUCAGCAGGGACGAAGCGUAAGUGACGGUACCUGCAGAAGAAGCACCGGCUAACUAUGUG